rnacentral:lncRNA from 1 species
GGGGGGGCUGCCGAGCCCCGGGACUUGCAGAAGGAGGCUCCCCGAGCAGAGCUGCCUGUGCAAAAGGUGACUCUCCGUUUUCUUCCGGCAGGAAAUUCCUGACUCGGAAGGACAAAGAGAGUAUCUUCACCAUGGACCACUUCCCUCUGUGGUACCGCCGGGCGGCCGAGCAUCCCCCUGGGAGCUUCAUCUACAGCAUCGUUUCAGAAGAUGACUCAGAGGGCGGCGGCCUACCAAAAGUGGUGACUGUUAGCACGGCAGUGGCUGUAUCUGUCGAUGGGAAGAUGGGUAUUGCUGCAGUGACAGGAGCCACAAAUGAUUGUCAUGUUGAAAACAAAGAGCAUUGGAAAAGGUACAAAUGGCCGACAUGUCUUUGGAAGGAAAGCUGGCUGUCUGAACGGAAGCUUCCUAUCUUCAGUGCCAGUGACUUUGUGGACUGAGGCUAUUUCUUUGGAGCACGAGCAGGUUGAGAAAUCUGUGCAAGUUUUGAACUGUUUCGAAAGAACAGCACAUUCCUAUAUCUUUAUUGUUAUCUCAUCUGAAAAGUAACUUCUGUUGGUGGAAUGGGCUUGCUGCUGGCUUUCCAACUCACGUAUUCGAUUUCUAAACUUCUCUUUCUAUCUGGGCUUUGAUUCCCAUUUGACAGACCUUCACCAGAUUCUGCAUCUACUCUUGGAAUACUUGUAAAGCACAAUAUUUCCCUCAAAAUCCAAAAGCUUUUGAACGUGAACCUUCACCAUUUUCAGUAGUAAUUGCUUCUGAUAGAAGGCUAUAUUUAAUACCUUCAAAUCACAGUCAGCCAUUUCUUUUACCUAGACUAGGUAAACCCAGGGUGCAAUAGAUGAUCUUCAGUCUACUAUUAAGUUAAAUUAUGGCAAUUUAACUUCAUCUGAUGAACUUCUCCUUAAUUUCCAGGCUCUCAGUAAGUUCCAGUUGAGAGUAGUACUCUCUAAGUAUCACAUGUGGUUUGCGAGAGUACUUAUAAUCUAAGGGACUGAUGAUACAAAAUAGUGCUUUUCAAUUCUAUUCCACCACUUCAAAUCCAAACAAUGAAAUUUAUUAGGAAGUGAAGCCUGUCCAGAGAUUCUUGUGAAAUAGAGGUGUUUU